CUUCUGAAGAAUUACUGACACAAACGGAUUUGAAAAAACUGCUUGACGAUAUUAACUUAUCGGACGAGUCCAUGGAAACUCAACAAGCUAUAGCACAUUACAAUAUUGUGGAGAUGGAAAAGGAUACUACGAUAAAAGAUGCGAAGAAAAAUUUGAUGAAAUUAUGAAAAGAGACGAUGAAGAUCAACUGAGAGGGUUAAACAGUCUCUUGAAAGACUUGAAAAAAUACGGUCUGGACGCAAUCAAACGAAAAUCGUCGCGACGAAAUGAUCCCAAGCUUUACAUCAUUUUCUAGAGACGAGUACGACAAUUUACUAUAUAAAUUACAAAUAUAGACAAAA